UUGAGACAGGGAAUUAAUAAAGUAAACUUGUGGCUUUUUCUAAUUUUCUUUCCAUUUAAUGUCUUGAAUUCAGAAACUUCUCUUUUGGGGCAAGAGGAACUUGUUUAACACUAACUACAAUAAUUUAUCCAAGUUAAAAGGGACUGUUUGGGUACUAGCAGGACACCAGAACAUUCUUGGAAAAGUUUGAAUUUCAGAGUAGUGUCCCAACUGAUCCAGGUGUCUCUCAAAGGCCAGAAGAGCUAACAGGAUCUUGUCAAGGAAAAGAAAGAAAUAUUCCUGGCAUCGCCAACUCUAGAGCCGAGAUGGAAAAAAAAGCAGAUGACAUCACCAUAAGGAGGGAGAAAUGAUCUUCAG